rnacentral:rRNA from 1 species
AUGGCUCCUACUCAGUGCGCCGUCUCACCGCCACCCGCCCCCACCAAUGCCGCCAAUGCCGCCGCCGCCGGAGGCGGAGGCAAGGGCAGGACGCAGCUGGCGGUGGCGCAGGUGAAGAAGCUCUGCAAGCAGGGGCGGCUCGAGCAGGCGCGGCGGCUGCUGCUGGACGCGCUGCCGCGCCCGCCGCCGACGCUGCUCUGCAACGUGCUCCUCAUCGCCUACGUCGCCGCCGCGCUCCCGGACCACGCGCUCCGCCUCUACGCGCUCCUCAACCACGCCGCCCGCCCCGCGCCCCGCUCCGACCACUACACCUACUCGUGCGCGCUCACCGCCUGCGCCCGCUCCCGCCGCCUGCGCCUCGGGAGGUCCGUCCACGCGCACCUCCUCCGCCGCGCCCGCUCGCUCCCGGACACCGCCGUCCUCCGCAACUCGCUGCUCAACCUCUACGCCUCCUGCGCGAGGUACCGGCACGGCCGCGUCGAUGUCGUCCGCAGGCUGUUCGACGCAAUGCCUAAGAAGAACGUCGUUUCGUGGAACACCCUCUUUGGCUGGUACGUCAAGACGGGACGCCCCGAUGAAGCCCUGGAGAUGUUCGUGCGCAUGCUGGAGGACGGCGUCAGGCCCACGCCGGUCAGCUUCGUGAACGUCUUCCCGGCGGCGGGGAGCGGCGAUCCCAGCUGGCCAUUCUUGCUCUAUGGUUUGGUGAUAAAGCAUGGGGUGGAGUAUGUCAAUGAUCUCUUCGUUGUCAGCUCCGCAAUCGGCAUGUUCUCUGAGAUUGGGGAUAUGCGGUCGGCUCGGAUAGUGUUUGACCGUGCUGCCAAGAAGAACAUUGAGGUUUGGAACACGAUGAUCACUGGGUACGUGCAGAAUGGGCAGUUUUCUGAAGCCAUGGAUCUCUUUAUCCAGAUAGUGGGGUCAAAAGAGGUUCCGUCUGAUGUUGUGACUUUCUUGUCAGCCGUCACAGCGGUGUCGCAGUCACAAGAUGUCAGGCUGGGCCAGCAACUGCAUGGCUACUUGAUGAAAGGAAUGCACAGCACACUGCCUGUGAUACUAGGUAAUGCGCUUGUCGUGAUGUACUCGAGAUGCGGCAAUGUUCAGACUGCAUUUGAACUGUUUGAUCGGUUGCCAGAGAAGGACAUUGUUUCCUGGAACACCAUGAUCACUGCUUUUGUGCAAAAUGAUUUUGACUUGGAGGGCCUGUUGCUCGUUUAUCAGAUGCAGAAAUCAGGUUUCAUUCCUGAUACGGUGACAUUGACUGCAGUGCUAUCUGCAGCAUCAAAUACAGGAGACCUUCAGAUUGGUAAACAGUCGCAUGGGUAUCUCAUCAGGCAUGGCAUUGAGGGCGAAGGCUUGGAGAGCUAUCUGAUAGACAUGUACGCCAAGUCUGGCCGCAUAGACAUGGCUCAGACAGUGUUUGAUGGCUAUGGGAAUAACAGAGAUGAAGUCACUUGGAAUGCCAUGAUAGCAGGAUACACACAGGGUGGCCAGCCUGAACAGGCAGUCUUAGCAUUCCGGGCAAUGAUCGAGGCAGGUGUGGAACCUACUUCAGUGACACUUGCUUCAGUGCUUCCUGCCUGUGACCCCGUUGGAGGGGGUGUAUGUGCAGGGAAGCAGAUACAUAGUUUUGCGCUGCGCCAUUCUCUGGAUACCAAUGUCUUUGUAGGUACAGCUCUUGUCGACAUGUACUCCAAGUGUGGGGAGAUUUCUGCUGCAGAGAAUGUCUUUGGUGGCAUGACUGAGAAGACCACUGUCACCUAUACGACAAUGAUCUCUGGUCUUGGCCAGCACGGUUUCGGCGAGAGAGCACUAUCCCUCUUCUACUCGAUGAGAGACAAGGGGUUAAAGCCUGACGCCGUGACCUUCCUGGCGGCCAUUUCAGCAUGUAAUUACUCUGGACUCGUCGACGAAGGUCUUUCUUUGUACAGGUCAAUGGAAACAUUUGGGCUUUCAGCUACCCCUCAGCACCAUUGCUGUAUCGUGGAUUUGUUGGCUAAAGCCGGGAGGGUGGACGAGGCAUACGACUUUGUAGAAAGCCUGGGUGAGGAUGGAAACUUCAUUGCCAUCUGGGGAUCACUUCUUGCAUCCUGCAAAACGCAGGGCAAGAUGGAGUUGGCAGCAUGGGCGACUGAGAAGGUGCUCAACAUCGAGAAGCAGUAUGGUCACGCAGGCUACAAUGUUUUGCUGUCGCAGCUAUUUGCUGCUGAAGGUAACUGGAGUAGCGCUGAUGGUCUGAGAAAGGAGAUGAGAUUGAGGGGGUUGAGGAAAGAGGCUGGUUCUACUUGGAUCAAAGUCCAGAGUGCAGCAUUGCAGGACAGAUCUGUGGAGAGAAACCAAAAGCAAAAUUGCCCCGAAAAUGAUCACAUGUUCUCGAUGCUGGAUGCAGAUACUUCUUACAGUACAGACGCAAUCAUUUAA